rnacentral:misc_RNA from 1 species
GAUGAAGAACGUAGUGAAAUGCGAUACUUGGUGUGAAUUGCAGAAUCCCGUGAACCAUCGAGUCUUUGAACGCAAGUUGCGCCCGAAGCCAUCAGGUUGAGGGCACGUCUGCCUGGGCGUCACAUAUCGUUGCCCAAUGCCUAUUGCAGUGCAAUAGGAAUUUCUAGGGCGAAUGAUGGCUUCCCGUGAGCGUUGUUGCCUUGCGGUUGGUUGAAAAUCGAGUCCUUGGUAGGGUGUGCCAUGGUAGAUGGUGGUCGAGUUAGAACGAUACCGAUCAUGUGCAUGCUCCCCAAAAUAUGGCCUCUAUGACCCACACGCGUCUUUUGACGCUCAUGACGAGACCUCAGGUCAGGCGGGGCUACCCGCUGAAUUUAAGCAUAUCAAUAAGCGGAGGA